GGAUACUUCUAAUCAUCAAGGAAAGGGUACAAAUCAAACUGCUCUGAUGGCCUGAUUUGCACUUCUUCUACAGUUGACGAUGGUCGUACUUCUCCAUGUUCUGAGACCAGUUUAAACAAAAACAAAAACCAGACAACAACCUUGCAAGGGAAAGAAUUCAGAGUAAAUAAACAGUCUUUUUCUGGGAAGUAAAAUAUUUCCCUAAGAUGGAGAAAUUGAGAUGAGAGCUCAUCCACAAGAUUACCCAUCAAUGAGCACCAAUAGCAACCAAAUCCACUAGAAGACUGGGAGCUUUUAAGUCAAGAAACUUACAUCAGUAUCAUCAUUCCAAGAAGCGGUAUCCAAGCUGUUUUAUCGAAAGUGCGCAUGGGAGAUGGUGCUGUGAGUGGGGAGUGAGUCAAAAACUCCGCUGGGGUGUACAAAAGUCUACUCAAAUGUCCACAGCAUCUGUGGGGGAUGGAGAAUAGUUGGAGGAUCUUUCUCCAGAAUCCUUCUGUUCUGUAGUACAAGUAUUACUCAUUAUAGACUAGCACGAAAAAUCAAGUGAAAUGCGAACUUAAGAGUUUAAAAAGAAUAAAUGGUGCUUUUCUGGCCUAUUAGUAAUAAAUUAAAUAAAAAUAAUUUUAAUUUGUAAGUAAUGAAUGCUAAUCUACAUUGUAUUAAUUGGGCUUAACCAGAGAGUUUUUGUUUACAUACAUUAGGCAAACAAACAAUAGGAAUGAGGAUUUUUAAUAAAG
rnacentral:lncRNA from 1 species